GAAUUGCGUUAAGGAUUGAGGCGGUAUCCUCGUAGUGAAACGAAGAGAUAUAGCCGAAAGCCUGACCCGCC
rnacentral:misc_RNA from 1 species